rnacentral:rRNA from 1 species
UACUCCUACGGGAGGCAGCAGUGGGGAAUUUUGGACAAUGGGGGAAACCCUGAUCCAGCCAUCCCGCGUGUGCGAUGAAGGCCUUCGGGUUGUAAAGCACUUUUGGCAGGAAAGAAACGUCAUGGGUUAAUACCCCGUGAAACUGACGGUACCUGCAGAAUAAGCACCGGCUAAAAUACGUGCCAGCAGCCGCGGUAAU